AACGAACGCUGGCGGCAUGCCUAACACAUGCAAGUCGAACGAGACCUUCGGGUCUAGUGGCGCACGGGUGCGUAACGCGUGGGAACCUGCCCUUAGGUUCGGAAUAACUCCCCGAAAGGGGUGCUAAUACCGGAUAAUGUCUUCGGACCAAAGAUUUAUCGCCUUUGGAUGGGCCCGCGUUGGAUUAGCUAGUUGGUAGGGUAAAAGCCUACCAAGGCGACGAUCCAUAGCUGGUCUGAGAGGAUGAUCAGCCACACUGGGACUGAGACACGGCCCAGACUCCUACGGGAGGGAGCAGUGGGGAAUAUUGGAGGAGGGGCGAAAGCCUGAUCCAGCAAUGCCGGGUGAGUGAUGAAGGCCUUAGGGUUGUAAAGCUCUUUUACCCGGGAUGAUAAUGACAGUACCGGGAGAAUAAGCUCCGGCUAACUACGUG
rnacentral:rRNA from 1 species